AUCAGGUAUGCUAGUUCUUCCUCUUUUCUGCUAAUUAUGUCCCUGCGUCUACACAGUUUCAUUUGAGUAUUCACAGUCGCCUUAUUUUUUUUUCAACUAGGUCGCUUGUAUGGGGACCCAAAUGAAGAUAUUUGGACUAUGUUCAAUGAUGAGCAAUAAUCAUUUUUGUCUAGAAGUGUCACCUCAAUUACUUUGUGCAAUGGAGAGUCAACCUUAUUUUCAUGCUCAGGGAUAGCUAUAGAUCAGAGGAACCAUCUUACAAGGUUUCUGACUUAUGCAAGUUUGGUUAGAGCUCUCAAUGGUGCUACAAACAAAGAUUAUAUUGAGUUAAAGAUUGGAGUGCGCCAUGAAGGCAAUGAAGUGUAUGAGGGGUUUUUGGCUGAAUAUGAUUUAGAUCAGAACUUUGCUGUUGUCAACGUCUAUGCCUUCCUUGAUGUUCAUGUUGGACUUAAACAUGUGCUGGACAUUUCGUCCCAUGGUGAGCUAUUAUUAGUAGCUUUAGGGCGUGGCAUCUCUGGCAAACUAAUUGCAAGGACUGUGAUGUUGAGUAGUGAUUUAAGGGUAUCUGGUUCUUGCCUGUAAAAACUCAGAGGUACACUUGCAUGAUGAUAUGAGAAUUUUAUUCUUUUCUAUUAUUAUAUGCAUGCAAGCAAUAAAAUGUUUUUUUAUUUUAUAAGUAAUUCUCGUUCCAUACCACUUCAUUCAAAUGUGAC